rnacentral:rRNA from 1 species
CCUACGGGAGGCAGCAGUGGGGAAUCUUGCGCAAUGGGCGAAAGCCUGACGCAGCAACGCCGCGUGCGGGAUGAAGGCCUUCGGGUUGUAAACCGCUUUUACCAGGAACGAAAAUGACGGUACCUGGAGAAUAAGGUGCGGCCAACUACGUGCCAGCAGCCGCGGUGACACGUAGGCACCAAGCGUUGUCCGGAUUUAUUGGGCGUAAAGAGCUCGUAGGCGGUUCAGAAAGUCGGGUGUGAAAACUCUGGGCUUAACCCAGAGACGCCACUCGAUACUACUGUGACUAGAGUUCGGUAGGGGAGCAGGGAAUUCCUGGUGUAGCGGUGAAAUGCGCAGAUAUCAGGAGGAACACCGAUGGCGAAGGCACUGCUCUGGGCCGAAACUGACGCUGAGGAGCGAAAGCGUGGGUAGCAAACAGGAUUAGAUACCCUAGUAGUC